rnacentral:rRNA from 1 species
UACAGAGGGUGCAAGCGUUUAAUCGGAAUUACUGGGCGUAAAGCGCGCGUAGGUGGUUUGUUAAGUUGGAUGUGAAAUCCCCGGGCUCAACCUGGGAACUGCAUUCAAAACUGACAAGCUAGAGUAUGGUAGAGGGUGGUGGAAUUUCCUGUGUAGCGGUGAAAUGCGUAGAUAUAGGAAGGAACACCAGUGGCGAAGGCGACCACCUGGACUGAUACUGACACUGAGGUGCGAAAGCGUGGGGAGCAAACAGGA